rnacentral:rRNA from 1 species
CAGUAGCCACGGUAAUACGAAGGGGGCUAGCGUUGCUCAGAAUUACUGGGCGUAAAGGGAGCGUAGGCGGAUGUUUAAGUCAGAGGUGAAAGCCCAGGGCUCAACCUUGGAACUGCCUUUGAUACUGGACAUCUUGAGUGUGGGAGAGGUAAGCGGAACUCCGAGUGUAGAGGUGAAAUUCGUAGAUAUUCAGAAGAACACCAGUGGCGAAGGCGGCUUACUGGCCCAUUACUGACGCUGAGGCUCGAAGGCGUGGGGAGCGAACAGGAUUAGAUACCCCGGUAGUCCCUGUCUCUUAUAC